UGUAUCUUAAAGUGUGCGCUUGUAUCUUGUAUCUUAAAGUGAGCCGCCAUUCGUUCAUCCGCGGUUCAGCCAGCCGUCACACAAAAUCUUCGUGCGCCUUUACUCUAAACAGCCUUUGGGUGGUAUCUCGCAACGUUUUCAAAAUAAAACCCUUCACCUACGUGUGUAGAUAUAUAGAACACCAUCUGUCUUACGGCGGCGUCUAGAAUGUCCGCACUUGCGGACAUCUUGCCAGUCAGCUGCUCACCCAUAACAUUGUUUUGGUACUGGUACAUGUACUUUUUAAAUAACCAUAUUAUUAAGUCAAGUAAAUCAAAUGGUUCCUUGUGGUCAAGUAGUCAGUACAACAGUUAGUAUGGUCAUAUCAGUCAGUGCCUGAACUUAUGUGACAUUCGGUCUAUAGCCCACUUCAAAUUGCUGACAUAAUGCAAUUUGCAAAGGCGAGAAUAUCCAUGUGUACGUUUUUCAAAUGACAUUUUCUCUAAAUCGAUACAGUAAAAUCACAUGGUUCCUUGUGUACAAGUAGUCAGUACAACAGUUAGUACGGUAAUAUCAGUCAGUGCCUGAACUCACUAGUUCUUAAUUGAUUUCAGCUGCGUCUCCCCCGCCUCUCCUCAUAAAGCGCCCCCACCGUGACGGAUGUUAAUCGUUUUUUUUGCGUUGGAUUGCGUGGGUUGAACAAUCCGGACAUCGUGGCCACCGACACGGACCCCCCGCCACCGGGAACCACGCAGUGAGUAACGCGGGGUACUUCCUUCAUGAGCACUGCACAUGUUACACUCUCCCGAUCUCCUCCUGUCGUCUGUUCUCGCCCCUCUAUUGUACAUGUUUUACCGCUGGGGGUUAAUGUGGAUUUGCUGAUGGAAGUGGUAGUUUGUGUUGAGUGGUUUAUUUAUGGGAUCUAUUGACUAACUAACUGACGCUGCGGACCGCUACAUCACCGACCACCACACUGGGAAGUGUCCUCUGCUCACUGUGGAAGCAGCAUGGAAGAACUGCAGCAACUCUGAUGGAAACUACAGGACCUCCACGCUGUUGAACACAAACUGUUGCAGGCCUACUACAAACAGAGGCGGUCCCACUCGGUUAAAGAUCUCGUGGUCAAUGCGGCAGAACGCUGGACCUGGACGUCACCUUCUGCAGAUACUUCACUGCCCUCAGGAAUCCACGGAUAACUUGAAACAUGUCCGACUCCACAUGUCUGAAAAAUCCAGGAUGGAAACUUGUGGAAGGAAGAAAGGGUUCUGUUUUUGCUCAACCCAUAACCCCACUGAGCCCUUCUGUGGAAACCUGUCUGACUGACUUUACUGACUGGGGGCCUGUUGUGUGCUUGGUUGGUCUGGUAGAAGGUUUGCUGCUUGUGAUCUGCAAGGUGGUCCUGGGUUAGAUGCGGUGUCUGACUUGCACACCACUCUCCCAAUUCUAUUCUUCUCUUUACUACUUUUCCACUUUCAAUACACUUGCUGCUGCUGCUGUUGACCGCCGGUCGUGCAAUGUGUUUUUUUAUUCGCCUAUGUUCUGUGGAUGAUCAUUACUGCCUGUUGGACGUUUUGCGUAUUUCACCAAUAGCUUCGGAACUAGACGGACCUCGUAUAUAAUUUGCUCUUCAAAGAUGCGGUCAGGCGCCCCUCCGUUAUGUAACGUUUUCGGCCCGGUACGAAAUAGACCGACCAAUCACAACCCUUUAUCUAAUGUGAGGUUGGAUAUACGCAACAUGUAGCGGUGUUUCAACAACAAAGAUGGAAGUUAGUGAACUAAAGACUAUAUUUUCACUAAAAGAACGAACGACUGCUCAUCACCCGUUCCAAUGCUACGAUUCGUCGAGGCCUAUCCAAUGGCAUAGCCGUCGAUCCAUUUUAGAUCGCGCCCUUUAGACACGCCCCUUGGUAAUUGAACAAGGCACUUCAACGCAGAGGAUCCAGAAGGAUUUCACGAGUCCAUUGGAAGAUAUCGAGGAACAUGAACAUCACCAAUGAAGGAGAGUAACGUUUCCUCUUGCUAUAGGAAUUUAGUGAAGCACUAAAUAGUUAAUAAUAAUAAAAUGUGGUCACCAUUUAUUGACUCGUUUGGUAAUACUUUACUAAUAUAACCGCGUUAAAACUUCAUUUACUUUUCUUGUGUAGUUUCCCACUAUUCAUUAAAUGUUUUAUUGAAGUACAAAUGUGUAUAGUUCUAUUAAUUACAUUUUUAUAACGAUUAAUCAUAUACAGGAUUUGAAAAUUUUCUACCCAAGCUCAUGCUUCAUAAUGAGUCCCAAAUGAUUUCUGAACAGUGGUUUGUUUUGGUUCAGGAGCGGCUUGUACUCCCAGAGGCUUCAACAGAGCGGGUCUGGAGCUGGGAGCUGCAGGUGGACGGUGGCCAGGAGGCGUUCAGUCCUACAGGAACAGACGGUAGAGGUGAUGGAGGCGGUCGUCUGGAGGUGCUCGCCGUGAGGUCCAUGGCGGUCGUCUGGAGGCGCUCGCCGUGAGGUCCGUGGCGGUCGUCUGGAGGCGCUCGCUGCAGAUGGAUGGAAGGCCGGGAGCCGUGCAGCCCAACGGAUGCAGAACGGACUGAGGCGGAGGUCCUGGAGGCGGAGCCCAGCCUGGAGGCGGCGGUGGCCUGGAGUUCCUGGAGGCGUCCAAACUGGAAGGGGCGGCAUGGAGGGCCAGGUGGCGGCUCCUCGUCCAGUAAAGUUACUCUUCUUCAGUGCAUCAUGAAAGGGGAGAAAUGUUCCAGUGUGCAACUGGAACUUGUGUCUCACAUUUCAGAAGGGCCUGGAGGCGGGCAACCUGGAAGGCCUGGAGACGGCGGAGGUCCUGGAGGCAACGGCAGGCCUGGAGGCGGACAUCCUGGAGGUCCUGGAGGCGGCGGCAGUGGCCAUCCUGGAGGCGGACAAUCUGGAGGUCCUGGCGGUGGCGUCCACCUGGCGGCGGUGGCGUCCUGGAGGGCCCGGCGGCGGUGGCGUCCUGGAGGGCCCGGCGGCGGUGGCGUCCUGGAGGGCCCGGCGGCGGCGGCGUCCUGGAGGGCCCGGCGGCGGCGUCCUGGAGGGCCCGGCGGCGUCCA